rnacentral:rRNA from 1 species
GACGAACGCUGGCGGCGCGCUUAACACAUGCAAGUCGAACGGAAAGGCCCUGCUUUUGUGGGGUGCUCGAGUGGCGAACGGGUGAGUAACACGUGAGUAACCUGCCCUUGACUUUGGGAUAACUUCAGGAAACUGGGGCUAAUACCGGAUAGGAGCUCCUGCUGCAUGGUGGGGGUUGGAAAGUUUCGGCGGUUGGGGAUGGACUCGCGGCUUAUCAGCUUGUUGGUGGGGUAGUGGCUUACCAAGGCUUUGACGGGUAGCCGGCCUGAGAGGGUGACCGGGAAAAUUGGGACGGAGAAACGGCACAGAGUACAACGGGAGGCAACAGUGGGGAAUAGUGCACAAAGGGCGGAAGCCUGAUGAAGCAAAGCAGCGUGCGGGAUGACGGCCUUCGGGUUGUAAACCGCUUUCGCCUGUGACGAAGCGUGAGUGACGGUAAUGGGUAAAGAAGCACCGGCUAACUACGUG